UACGUAGGUGGCGAGCGUUAUCCGGAAUGAUUGGGCGUAAAGGGUGCGUAGGCGGCCUGCUAAGUCUGGAGUGAAAGGUACCGGCUCAACCGGUACAGGCUCUGGAAACUGGCGGGCUAGAGAGCAGGAGAGGGCGGUGGAACUCCAUGUGUAGCGGUAAAAUGCGUAGAUAUAUGGAAGAACACCAGUGGCGAAGGCGAUUCUCUGGACUGUAACUGACGCUGAGGCUCGAAAGCGUGGGGAGCAAACAGG
rnacentral:rRNA from 1 species